UACGAAGGGGGCUAGCGUUGUUCGGAAUUACUGGGCGUAAAGCGCACGUAGGCGGAUCGAUCAGUCAGGGGUGAAAUCCCAGAGCUCAACUCUGGAACUGCCUUUGAUACUGUCGAUCUGGAGUAUGGAAGAGGUGAGUGGAAUUCCGAGUGUAGAGGUGAAAUUCGUAGAUAUCUGGAGGAACACCGGUGGCGAAGGCGGCUCACUGGUCCGGUACUGACGCUGAGGUGCGAAAGCGUGGGGAGCAAACAGG
rnacentral:rRNA from 1 species